AGUGAACGCUGGCGGUAGGCCUAACACAUGCAAGUCGAACGGCAGCACAGUAAGAGCUUGCUCUUACGGGUGGCGAGUGGCGGACGGGUGAGGAAUACAUCGGAAUCUACUUUUUCGUGGGGGAUAACGUAGGGAAACUUACGCUAAUACCGCAUACGACCUACGGGUGAAAGCAGGGGAUCUUCGGACCUUGCGCGAUUGAAUGAGCCGAUGUCGGAUUAGCUAGUUGGCGGGGUAAAGGCCCACCAAGGCGACGAUCCGUAGCUGGUCUGAGAGGAUGAUCGGCCACACUGGAACUGAGACACGGUCCAGACUCCUACGGGAGGCAGCAGUGGGGAAUAUUGGACAAUGGGCGCAAGCCUGAUCCAGCCAUACCGCGUGGGUGAAGAAGGCCUUCGGGUUGUAAAGCCCUUUUGUUGGGAAAGAGAAGCAGCAGGUUAAUACCCCGCUGUUCUGACGGUACCCAAAGAAUAAGCACCGGCUAACUUCGUG
rnacentral:rRNA from 1 species